rnacentral:lncRNA from 1 species
UGUACCAAACCUUUUGCCUUUGACAAAUGCACCCAGGAUAACAGGCUGCUCCAGUACUCUGCUUCUUUCUCAUGCCUGCCUUCACCUGGUCUCUGCCUGAAGACCUGCUGGCAGAAAAGGAGAAAUGCUGUACGAGGUUUAUGAAUAGGUCAGUUUGGUAUACAAACUGAAGCCCUAAGUGGACUGCUACUACUAUUGCAGGAACACAGCACACAAGAAAAGGUGUCUGUCUUUCCUGUGUAAUGGACAGGUUUUGAAUCGUGGGCCCAGAAGGAUUGUCUGACGACUGGUCGAAUGGCAAGCAUCUUACUCAAAUAGAGUCAUAAGGUCUCUUCUCUGGGAAUUUUAGCCCUUGGAAAUUAUGUGGGCACCUGGACUAUCACAUAUACACUGGGGAGCUGUAUGUGGUAGCCAUUUUCUGCUACAAGAUCUAAGAAACAGAAGUUAGUUUGCAAUGAAAGAUUAAUAAUACAACAGAAUUAUAAGGAAUGUCCAUUUGUGCUUUAGCAACUUGAAGCUUCAGUGAAAAGAAUCAGAACACAGAGAAAACUUGCUGCUAGGACAAAAAUGAAGGAAAGAAUCAUCCCAGGAUGGUGAUACUCGGGUUACAGGCUCACAGGCAGAAGGGACUUGGCCUUUCUCAGAU